AGUGAACGCUGGCGGUAGGCCUAACACAUGCAAGUCGAACGGCAGCACAGUAAGAGCUUGCUCUUACGGGUGGCGAGUGGCGGACGGGUGAGGAAUACAUCGGAAUCUACUUUUUCGUGGGGGAUAACGUAGGGAAACUUACGCUAAUACCGCAUACGACCUACGGGUGAAAGCAGGGGAUCUUCGGACCUUGCGCGAAUGAAUGAGCCGAUGUCGGAUUAGCUAGUUGGCGGGGUAAAGGCCCACCAAGGCGACGAUCCGUAGCUGGUCUGAGAGGAUGAUCAGCCACACUGGAACUGGGACACGGUCCAGACUCCUACGGGAGGCAGCAGUGGGGAAUAUUGGACAAUGGGCGCAAGCCUGAUCCAGCCAUACCGCGUGGGUGAAGAGGGCCUUCGGGUUGUAAAGCCCUUUUGUUGGGAAAGAAAAGCAGCAGGUUAAUACCCCGCUGUUCUGACGGUACCCAAAGAAUAAGCACCGGCUAACUUCGUG
rnacentral:rRNA from 1 species